CUAAGGAGUAAUUACCUACUGUUUAAUUUUGAGGGUUUAUUAUAUAAACUUUCAAAAUUAGGGCGUAGCCCUUAAAAAGUACUUUGAGCAACAGAUUGCGACUAAAUAGGAGUAAUUGUUGGCGAGGUGCGUUAGCACUUUGAAAACUGCAUAACAUUUAGUGAUGAUUAAAUAAAUCAAUUAUAAGAGAACAAAACUCUUUAAAAAAUAAAUACUUUAAUAACU
rnacentral:misc_RNA from 1 species